AACGAACGCUGGCGGCAUGCCUAACACAUGCAAGUCGAACGAGACCUUCGGGUCUAGUGGCGCACGGGUGCGUAACGCGUGGGAACCUGCCCUUAGGUUCGGAAUAACUCCCCGAAAGGGGUGCUAAUACCGGAUAAUGUCUUCGGACCAAAGAUUUAUCGCCUUUGGAUGGGCCCGCGUUGGAUUAGAUAGUUGGUAGGGUAAAAGCCUACCAAGGCGACGAUCCAUAGCUGGUCUGAGAGGAUGAUCAGCCACACUGGGACUGAGACACGGCCCAGACUCCUACGGGAGGCAGCAGUGGGGAAUAUUGGACAAUGGGCGAAAGCCUGAUCCAGCAAUGCCGCGUGAGUGAUGAAGGCCUUAGGGUUGUAAAGCUCUUUUACCCGGGAUGAUAAUGACAGUACCGGGAGAAUAAGCGCCGGCUAACUCCGUG
rnacentral:rRNA from 1 species